rnacentral:rRNA from 1 species
AUUGAACGCUGGCGGCAUGCCUUACACAUGCAAGUCGAACGGUAACAGGGUGCUUGCACCGCUGGCGAGUGGCGAACGGGUGAGUAACGCGUCGGAACGUGCCGAGUAGUGGGGGAUAACGCAGCGAAAGUUGUGCUAAUACCGCAUACGUACUGAGGUAGAAAGUGGGGGACCUUCGGGCCUCACGCUAUUCGAGCGGCCGACGUCUGAUUAGCUAGUAGGUGAGGUAAAGGCUCACCUAGGCGACGAUCAGUAGCGGGUCUGAGAGGAUGAUCCGCCCCACUGGGGCUGAGACACGGCCCAGACUCCUACGGGAGGCAGCAGUGGGGAAUUUUGGACAAUGGGCGAAAGCCUGAUCCAGCCAUGCCGCGUGUCUGAAGAAGGCCUUCGGGUUGUAAAGGACUUUUGUCAGGGAGGAAAUCCCUAGUGCUAAUAACACUGGGGGAUGACAGUACCUGAAGAAUAAGCACCGGCUAACUACGUGCCAGCAGCCGCCGUAA